GGGACAGGAGCACACACCAUGAUUUCACACAUCCAGCUGAUCUGGCCCCUGGCAUUCUGUGUCACAGGUAUCAGUGGGGACAUUAUCAUGACUCAGUCUCCCCCGGUGCUGUCAGUGGGACUGGACCAGACCGCAACACUCACCUGUACGGCCAGUCAAAGCAUUAGCAGCUCCCUUGCUUGGUACCAGCAUCGAGAAGGUCAGAAACCCUCUGUCUUGAUCUACAGUGCAGCAACUCGAUUCACAGGAGUCUCCGAGCGAUUCACCGGCAGUGGAUCAGGGACCAGUUUCACCCUGACAAUCAGCAACGUUCAGAAUGAGGAUGUCGCUGACUAUUACUGUAUGCAGCAUUACAGCACAUUCACGUUCGGUCCAGGAACCAAGCUCAGACUGAGCCGUGAGAACUCACAGCCCAAGCUGACCCUGCUGCCCCCCUCCCCGGAGCAGGUCAAUGCCAAGGGCACUGCCACCCUGGUGUGCCUUGCCAAUCACUUCUAUCCCGAUGAGCUGGAGGUGCAGUGGAAGAAGGACGGUGCAGUCAUUUCGGACGGGGUUCAGACCAGCAACUACCUGCGAGCUUCGGACAACACCUACAGUGUCAGUAGCCUGCUGACCCUCUCUGGGUCUGACUGGGAGUCCAACGCUCGCUUUUCCUGUGCCCUCACCCACAUGACCCUCCCUUCUCCCCUCAGCAAGAGCAUCAGGAGAUCAGAAUGUGUGUAGAGUGUUGGAGACAGUCCACAGAGGAGACACAACUUUAAAUAGGACAGGGCUGAGCUGGCAGGACAAAGGUCAUUGUCAGCACUGAAUUUCUCUUCCUUCCUUCUCAGGAUUGCUCAGAGAAACAUCUGAGGUUUGGAUGUUAAAGCAUAUCAUUGGGAUAGUGGUGAGAGAACACCAUGUCAAAACUCAUACUGUCCUGGGAGUGUUUGAUGGGGACAGGAUUGCCUUGUGAUGUUAGCUGCACAAAUCAAUGUGAACCUCAGAAGUCUGUGCUUCAGUAACCAGAUCUCCUUUCUGCUCAGCCACCAGUUCCAAUUUAAGGUUUUGUCACUGUUUAA